GCCAGACUCCUACGGGAGGCAGCAGUGGGGAAUAUUGCACAAUGGGGGGAACCCUGAUGCAGCGACGCCGCGUGAGUGAAGAAGUAUUUCGGUAUGUAAAGCUCUAUCAGCAGGGAAGAUAAUGACGGUACCUGACUAAGAAGCCCCGGCUAACUACGUGCCAGCAGCCGCGGUAAUACGUAGGGGGCAAGCGUUAUCCGGAUUUACUGGGUGUAAAGGGUGCGUAGGUGGCAGGGCAAGUCAGAUGUGAAAGCCCGGGGCCCAACCCCGGUACUGCAUUUGAAACUGUCCGGCUGGAGUGCAGGAGAGGUAAGCGGAAUUCCUAGUGUAGCGGUGAAAUGCGUAGAUAUUAGGAGGAACACCAGUGGCGAAGGCGGCUUACUGGACUGUAACUGACACUGAGGCACGAAAGCGUGGGGAGCAAACAGGAUUAGAUACCCCGGUA
rnacentral:rRNA from 1 species